GAUGAAGAACGCAGCGAAAUGCGAUACGUAGUGUGAAUUGCAGAAUUCAGUGAAUCAUCGAAUCUUUGAACGCACAUUGCGCCCCUUGGUAUUCCGAGGGGCAUGCCUGUUCGAGCGUCAUUAUAACCCUCAAGCUCAGCUUGGUGUUGGGGCCUGCUGCACUGGCAGCCCUUAAAAUCAGUGGCGGCGCCAUCUGGCUCUAAGCGUAGUAAUUCUUCUCGCUAUGGAGUCCUGGUGGAUGCUUGCCAUCAACCCCCAAUUUUUCUAUGGUUGACCUCGGAUCAGGUAGGGAUACCCGCUGAACUUAAGCAUAUCAAUAAGCGGAGGA
rnacentral:misc_RNA from 1 species